rnacentral:lncRNA from 1 species
GGUAUUGACAUGCUUGUAAAGUGUCAGGCUUAAAUACUCACAUCCUGUUUCCAAAUUAUGCCAUUUGAGUAGGAAAAAACAGAUUUUACUGCACCUUCUUUGUCACCCUCGGGUAAACUCAGAACUCCACCAGGCAGAUGUUCUCACAAGCAUCAGGGUCCAUCAUCAAAUUAUCUAGAAGUCUGAAGUCUUCCAAGGAAAAUGAAUUUGUAUAUAUAUAUAUAUAUAUAUAUAUAUAUAUAUAUAUAUAUAUAUAUAUUUCUUUCUUUUUCCUUAAAAGCCAUGAUGGUAGAAAAAGAAAUAAUACAUAUGAAUGAUCAGCACGUUUUACUUUUAAAAGCUUUUGAACUCAAUCGAAAGACACAAGUUGGAAGCAGAAUUGACAGUUUUAAUUCUACCUAUUUUCACCUGGCACAUCAGAUCAGAGGCAAUCAUUUAUUUUAUAGGGUGUGGAUUGGAAAGGUGGAUAAAAAACUCGAAUCCACUGAAGUCUCUAUCCUAAAAAUCGGGGAGAAAUUAAAGAUGUAUUGAAACACAAACAAUCUAUCACUUAGUGCUCUCAGUCUAGAUUAAUUAAAAUUUACAGAUUCACAUUCUACCUAAUUUUAUGCUCCCCCCCCCCCCCCAGGAUUCCCUUCAAGUCUGAUAGGAAAGACAGAACCACUUCUGGACUAGCUGUAAGGAUGUGUUUUUGUUUCCAUUACCCUGAAGCACUUUUCAUAAACCUUUUAAUUUAUUUAAAUAAGUCUAUUUGGACAUUAGAAGAAGCUAACACACAAAGAUAGCUUGGCUUUAUACCAUCAAUCACAGCAUUGAAAAGCAAAACAAAAAAUCCAAAUCCCGAAGCUAACAGAGAAGUUUUCUGAAACCCAUCUUUGCCUCAACGAUAUAAAGUGCAAAGCAAAAGAAAGUUUGCAACUUGCAUCUGUACGUCUUCCCAUACGCGUUUAUAAACAUCUUCCAGUCCGUGUUGCGCGUUACCUCCCUCCGACACACACUAGAAGGCAGAGGCAUCGAGGGAUCGCCCCCUGAGAGCUGUGUUUACUUAGGUUUUUUUUAAUCUCUCCGCCAUGUAUGACAAGUGUUACUUCAAGAAAUUCAUCAGCCUUCUACAGAUACUUCCAGUUUUGCUGUAAUGAUCUGCAGAAGAGAACUGCCAUCGCUUUCUCACAUCCCAAGGUGUUGCAGGAACUCAGAGAGAGAG